rnacentral:misc_RNA from 1 species
AUCAAAGCUUUAAGGAAAGCUCUUUGUUUUUUGAAAGGGUGCUUUUAUGAGAUAGAGAUUUUUUAGAUAAUGCUUUUUUAGAUAAUGCUGGGGAAGGUUUUCCGGUUUAUCUCGGAGGGCUUGUAGCUCAGUUGGUUAGAGCGCGCGCUUGAUAAGCGUGAGGUCGGAGGUUCAAGUCCUCCCAGGCCCACCAAUUUACCUAUCCAUUUGCCUUUAUCUGUUUAUUUGCCGAUUUAUCGGUCCAUUGAAUUUAAGUGUUGGUAGCAGUUUUAUAAUGAGAAGAAAUCAUGGUUAAAAAAGAACUCCUUAAAAAGGGUUGGUUUUAAAAGGUAACGCUUAUCCAUUUCGCUUAGGCAAGAGAAAUUUCAAGCGGUUAGCAAGAAAAAGGUUUUAAUUUUGGAAAAAAAUUUUAAUUUUUGAAAAACCUUUUAAUUUUUAAAAAGAUCUAGAUUUUUGAUCUCAAAUUUAAACGUGACCAAUGCUUUAACAUUUUUUAAGGGCCGAUCCUUU